UCUGCUGGGGUCUUUGUUGGUUUGUUGUAACGUGACCAUUAUUCUGUUUCAGAUUCAGAAUCGGUGACAGGAGGUGAGCUUGACCUUCUGCACAUCGCAGCGUCUGCUUUGCUGAAGAUAGGAAACACAUCCUUUCUUCCUGUCGUAAUGUUUCUGCACACUUGACUCUGAAACUAUCUCUAUUUUCACAUUAAAUCUCGUUCAUGUGCUGAAGUAAUGCCUAUUCUCUCUAUAAACUGAAAACCACAACAUCAAAUCUCUGUAUGUUGUUGCCAGGUAUCAUCAUUUUGAUCAUCAUCCUGAUCCUGAUCUGUUUUCUGCUUGGCAUUUUAUAUAUUCUGAGAAAGAAAGCAAGGAGUUACUCAUUUGAUUUGACUCGUAUCGAUGGACUUGGCAAUGAUUAUGACACCCCGCUCAGGAGCGACCAACAAGGCCUAAGCUAUGAACAAACCAACAAAGAUCUGUCUGUGACUUUAAAUUACAUCCAAGAAGACAAGGCUGAGGAAAAGACUAAUCCGAUAGCAAAUGGGUCUGCAGGAGAGAAAACUGAACAAACACCGACCAAUGAAAAUGAUGAGCAGAAUGUUCCAGAAGAGAACAGUUUCUCUUCAAACUCGAGCUUGUCUACGCCAGUGAAGAAAGUGGAGUUUAACCUGGACUUGGAUCUGCUUGGAAGUGAAUUUGAAUUAAGUGCUGAGACCGAAGCUGAAGCCACAGAUGCGGAGCAAAAUGAAAACAACAAUAACGUCAGUAAUGCUGGGCGAGGAACAGCAGAAGAGAUCUUCACUGAAAUCAGUCUAGACGAGCCAAAGGAGCAUGCAUAGCGUGUGUUUCCCAUGCAACAAUCAAGAUCUCUGGUCUUUGGUACCUAGAUUCAACUCUAUCUGUUCAAGAUGCCUUGAUCCGGACUAUAUGAGUGCUAAAGCGUCCUUUUGACAUUCUCACUUCAAGUGCUGUUUCAUCUACUGUUAAAAGAGAUUGUAUACUGUACAUAAAAAAAGAACAUUGAAUCAUUAAAGUUUAUGUAAAAAAUGUUAGCAUACAAAUGUUGUAUAAAAUAAUUUGUGGCUGUAAUAAACGUUCACUGCACUUGUGUGUGUGUGUGUUUUGGACUGAUGCUCUCUGUUAAAGGGACAGUUCGCCCACAAAUGAAAAUUAAGUCAUCGUUUACUCACCCUUGUGUCCUUCUAAUGCCAUAUGCCCAUCAUUUUUUUUCUGAACACAAAAGGAGAUUUUUUUUUUAGAAAUGUCCCAUACGCUCGUCCAUAUAGUGACAGACAGUGCUGGGUAGAUUACAAAUUGCAUGAAAAAAAUUGUAAUCAGCAAUGUCAUUUAGAUUACUCAUUUUAGGUAAUGUAUUCUGACUGCUAUUGGAUUACUUUUAGAUGACUUAUGACCUA
rnacentral:lncRNA from 1 species